rnacentral:rRNA from 1 species
ACGGGGCCCGCACAAGCGGAGGAACAUGUGGUUUAAUUCGAUGCAACGCGAAAACUUACCCACCUUUGACAUGUACGGAAUCCUUUAGAGAUAGAGGAGUGCUCGAAAGAGAGCCGUAACACAGGUGCUGCAUGGCUGUCGUCAGCUCGUGUCGUGAGAUGUUGGGUUAAGUCCCGCAACGAGCGCAACCCUUGUCAUUAGUUGCUACAUUCAGUUGGGCACUCUAAUGAGACUGCCGGUGACAAACCGGAGGAAGGUGGGGAUGACGUCAAGUCCUCAUGGCCCUUAUAGGUGGGGCUACACACGUCAUACAAUGGAUGGUACAAAGGGUCGCCAACCCGCGAGGGGGAGCCAAUCCCAUAAAGCCAUUCGUAGUCCGGAUCGCAGUCUGCAACUCGACUGCGUGAAAUCGGAAUCGCUAGUAAUCGUGGAUCAGAAUGUCACGGUGAAUACGUUCCCGGGCCUU